GCCAGUGUGGUAUAAUGGUUUAAAUGUUGGACUAAUGAUUCUAGAGUCCAAGGUUUGAAUCUGUGCUCAGCCA